GAAAGAAAGCUCCAGAAAACAUCUGUGGCUGCUGGCUUUCUCGUGCCUCCCAUUGUUGGGAGACCAUGGACGUCGGUGGAGGAGGGAAGUUCUGUCACCUGUUUGGAAGCCGAAGCUGGCAACUCUGACUGGCUUGUGACAGCUGCGAGAGACUCCAGCUUGGUACCGGAAGAGCGAGGAGAAGCAGCUUGUGUGGUGAGCGCGGAUGAUGGAGGUGACCCUGGAGGAGAGAGGUCUGUUCUUAGUGCUGUCAUGAUGAGAGGCCUUGUUUGGACCAGAGUCUCAGUGGGGUCCUUGGCAAGAUCCAGGGAGGCGCUAUGUCCACUUCCUUGGUAAAGGGAUGAAGAGAAGUCCACAUGCGCCCUGGUCCUACGGUGUGCCUUAGGCAGAGGUGUCUGGGAUAGCUUCAGCAAGGUUGUGUUGUCAGGAGGCUGUCCCAGCACAUUCUUGAAUCUGUCUGCUGCUGAGGAAGACUUGACUUCCAAGAAAGGCCAUGUUGGUGAAAUUGGUAACAAUUUCCCAAGGGGAAAGGACUCUGAGGUCGGAGUGACAUGUAUCUGUAGAUUGUCUGUCCCUGUGAAAGAAAGCAUCCACAUGAGAUGUGGGAUCAGGAUGCGCUGCAAUGGGCAGGCGCUGGAGACAAGGAGCAGCAAGACAGGUCCUGCCUGGCCACAGUCCUUCCGCUCAUCACAGAACCCUCAUGAAACAACUCAAACAAGGAACGAAGUAGCAAGGAACGAAGACAGGGAGCCAAGAUUCAAAGAGUUCAACUGCUCGCCACGGUCACAGAAGCUCACACACUCUGACUCCAGCUUCCCAGGCUCUCAGUACCACAUGAUGAAGAGUGAAUGAACUCUGUGUCUGGGUUUGGGGGACGUUCUACCCUGCGAGAGUGACUUGACCAGAUGGAGUCCACCCAGAAGCUGCCUCUUCUUCCACGUUUGAAGCUCUCUCUUGCCAUGCUGCUGCUUCGGCAAGCAUUACCCAGCAUAGCUCUAAAUCACGGAGACCUGUCAGGCCUUCAUUCCCGGAAGGCCAAAAGAAAUGGAUUAAAAGCCAUCACCGUGCUGGAACAUCCGACCCACACUUUAAUAUAAGACACACACUUAUGCGUUUUGCAAUCCCUUGCAAGGAGUCUAAGUUCUAAAGUUUGGCGCCCAGAAUCUUCCUGCCCAAGAUGAUUCCUCCUGGGCCUUUUUAAAACAAAACGCACCAGUUAAUAGAACCCGACUGCCAUCGCUUGAAGGGAUGCCAGCCAAAGAGAAAGCUCUGCUUACUGAAUCAACAGAAACAUUGCAACUUUCAAAGCUCUUCCACAGCUAUUUUCUCUUUUAAAAACUUUAUUGCUUUCAAACCAUUUGUGAAAUGGCUCUUAAAAUAAAGCUGUCCCUUCUCCACAGACA
ensembl:antisense Gm13883 predicted gene 13883